rnacentral:rRNA from 1 species
UACGUAGGUGACAAGCGUUGUCCGGAUUUACUGGGCGUAAAGAGCGCGCAGGCGGUCGUUCAAGUCGAGUGUGAAAGCCCUGGGCUCAACUGGGGAGUGUCGUGCGAUACGGUCGGACUGGAGGCCAGUAGGGGGAUGCGGAAUUCCGGGUGUAGUGGUGGAAUGCGUAGAGAUCCGGAGGAACACCAGCGGCGAAGGCGGCAUCCUGGACUGGUCCUGACACUCAUGAGCGAAAGCGUGGGGAGCGAUCCGG